GGGCGGGACAACUACUAGGCUACAGCACAGACACUAACAGACUACAGAGUCCGAGAGAAACAGGAGGGUGAGGAGUCACACAGGACAGAGUCAGAGAGAAACAGGAGGGUGAGGAGUCACACAGGACAGAGUCAGAGAGAAACAGGAGGGUGAGGAGUCACAGGACAGAGUCAGAGAGAAACAGGAGGGUGAGGAGUCACAGGACAGAGUCAGAGAGAAACAGGAGGGUGAGGAGUCACACAGGACAGAGUCAGAGAGAAACAGGAGGGUGAGGAGUCACAGGACAGAGUCAGAGAGAAACAGGAGGGUGAGGAGUCAAACAGGACAGAGUCAGAGAGAAACAGGAGGGUGAGGAGUCAAACAGGACAGAGUCAGAGAGAAACAGGAGGGUGAGGAGUCAAACAGGACAGAGUCAGAGAGAAACAGGAGGGUGAGGAGUCACACAGGACAUGGUCAGAGAGAAACAGG